GUUAUAUUUAGAAGUAGACUUAAAAUAUGACAGUUCCUGACAUGGUAUUUAUUAAGGAACACACUUCACAUAUGGGAGCUGACUUUUUGCUCUAGGAUGCCUUGCCUUAUACCUCCUUUAUAUAGAACAAACAAAAAGGCUUUUUUGUACAUGACAUUGUGGCAGGGCUUCUCAAUUUAAUUCUCUGAUGUAGUUACAAAAAGGCUUUAAGUAGGUAACCACUGCAUAAGUUGCCAUUUCAAUAUUGAUAGAAGCCAAAUAUAAAAUUGGCAUCAGUAGUGCAUUAUGUUACUGAAAACUUCUGAUUUUUUGUUUGUUUGUGCGUUUGUCUCUAAUUUUGACAUGCCCUUAGUAAUCAUCUGAUACUUUCCUCAUGGGCCACCAUUCCCAUGCUCCCUUUAGCUGACGGUAGAAAUAGCAAGCUGUCAAAAAAAUAUUUCUCCCAUUCUUCCAUUGUAGAUUUGUUGCUGGGCCUGUGGUUGCUCAUCCAGAGACUGUAUUUCUUGGACUCCCUCAUAGCCAGAUGCGGUCCUUCAGGUUCCAGAUAUCGGUUGAACUCCCAUGGUUACAAGUCCGACUGAGUGAAGGAGGAAAAGAAGGUUGAGUGGAAAUGUUAUUGACUGCCACACCACUGAAGGAGAAUUCUGCAAAGCUGUUGGGGACUCCUUCAGACAAAGUUGGCUGUCAGAAGAGUCUCAGGUAUGAGG
rnacentral:lncRNA from 12 species